AGAGUUUGAUCCUGGCUCAGGAUGAACGCUAGCUACAGGCUUAACACAUGCAAGUCGAGGGGCAGCAUGAUUGAAGCUUGCUUCAAUUGAUGGCGACCGGCGCACGGGUGAGUAACACGUAUCCAACCUGCCGAUAACUCGGGGAUAGCCUUUCGAAAGAAAGAUUAAUAUCCGAUAGUAUAUUAAAACCGCAUGGUUUUACUAUUAAAGAAUUUCGGUUAUCGAUGGGGAUGCGUUCCAUUAGUUUGUUGGCGGGGUAACGGCCCACCAAGACUACGAUGGAUAGGGGUUCUGAGAGGAAGGUCCCCCACAUUGGAACUGAGACACGGUCCAAACUCCUACGGGAGGCAGCAGUGAGGAAUAUUGGUCAAUGGACGAGAGUCUGAACCAGCCAAGUAGCGUGAAGGAUGAAGGUCCUACGGAUUGUAAACUUCUUUUAUAAGGGAAUAAACCCUCCCACGUGUGGGAGCUUGUAUGUACCUUAUGAAUAAGCAUCGGCUAACUCCGUGCCAGCAGCCGCGGUAAUACGGAGGAUGCGAGCGUUAUCCGGAUUUAUUGGGUUUAAAGGGAGCGCAGACGGGUCGUUAAGUCAGCUGUGAAAGUUUGGGGCUCAACCUUAAAAUUGCAGUUGAUACUGGCGUCCUUGAGUGCGGUUGAGGUGUGCGGAAUUCGUGGUGUAGCGGUGAAAUGCUUAGAUAUCACGAAGAACUCCGAUUGCGAAGGCAGCACACUAAUCCGUAACUGACGUUCAUGCUCGAAAGUGUGGGUAUCAAACAGGAUUAGAUACCCUGGUAGUCCACACGGUAAACGAUGAAUACUCGCUGUUUGCGAUAUACUGCAAGCGGCCAAGCGAAAGCGUUAAGUAUUCCACCUGGGGAGUACGCCGGCAACGGUGAAACUCAAAGGAAUUGACGGGGGC
rnacentral:rRNA from 1 species